UCCUUGGUGUCUCAGAUGGUAAAGAAUCUGCAUGCAAUGCAAAAGACCCAGGUUCAAUCCCUGGUCAGGAAG
rnacentral:tRNA from 1 species